rnacentral:rRNA from 1 species
GACGAACGCUGGCGGCGUGCUUAACACAUGCAAGUCGAACGGAAAGGCCCUGCUUGCAGGGUACUCGAGUGGCGAACGGGUGAGUAACACGUGGGUGAUCUGCCCUGCACUUCGGGAUAAGCUUGGGAAACUGGGUCUAAUACCGGAUAGGAGCCAUCUUUAGUGUGGUGGUUGGAAAGUUUUUUCGGUGUAGGAUGAGCUCGCGGCCUAUCAGCUUGUUGGUGGGGUAAUGGCCUACCAAGGCGGCGACGGGUAGCCGGCCUGAGAGGGUGUACGGCCACAUUGGGACUGAGAUACGGCCCAGACUCCUACGGGAGGCAGCAGUGGGGAAUAUUGCACAAUGGGCGCAAGCCUGAGGCAGCGACGCCGCGUGGGGGAUGAAGGCCUUCGGGUUGUAAACUCCUUUCGCUAGGGACGAAGCUUUUUGUGACGGUACCUAGAUAAGAAGCACCGGCUAACUACGUG